GAGACAUCAUGUACCCGUACCAAAACCGACACAGGUAGGCGGGGAGAGAAUCCUAAGGUGCGCGGGAAAACCCUCGUUAAGGAACUCGGCAAAAUGCAUCCGUAACUUCGGGAGAAGGAUGGCCGGAGCUGGUGAAGAGAUUGACUCUUGGAGCUGGAGCCGGCGGCAGAAGAGAAGCCCAAGCGACUGUUUACCACAAACACAGGUGCCUGCUAAAGAGAAAUCUGACGUAUAGGUGCUGACACCUGCCCGGUGCUGGAAGGUUAAGGAGAGAUGUCAGGAGCAAUCCGAAGCAUUGAACUGAAGCCCCAGUAAACGGCGGCCGUAACAAUAACGGUCCUAAGGUAGCGAAAUUCCUUGUCGGGUAAGUUCCGACCCGCACGAAAGGUGUAACGACUUGGGCACUGUCUCAACGAGGGACCCGGUGAAAUUGAAAUACCUGUGAAGAUGCAGGUUACCCGCGACUGGGCAGAAAGACCCCAUGGAGCUUUACUGCAGCCUGACAUUGAUUUUUGGCAUGUAACGUACAGGAUAGUUGGGAGACGGAGAAGAUAGCCCUCCAGGGUUAUCAGAGUCGCUGUUGGGAUACCAACCUUUAUGUGCUAGGGAUCUAACUCGAGAAGUAACGAAGCUGAGGACAGUAUCAGGUGGGCAGUUUGACUGGGGCGGUCGCCUCCGAAAGAGUAACGGAGGCGUCCAAAGGUUCCCUCAGCGCGGACAGAAAUCGCGCGAAGAGUAUAAAGGCAGAAGGGAGCUUGACUGCGAGACAUACAGGUCGGGCAGGUACGAAAGUAGGGCUUAGUGAUCCGGUGGAAUGAGAGUGGAAUUGCCAUCGCUCAACGGAUAAAAGCUACCCUGGGGAUAACAGGCUAAUCUCUCCCAAGAGUCCAUAUCGACGGGGAGGUUUGGCACCUCGAUGUCGGCUCAUCACAUCCUGGGGCUGAAGCAGGUCCCAAGGGUUGGGCUGUUCGCCCAUUAAAGUGGUACGUGAGCUGGGUUCAGAAUGUCGUGAGACAGUUCGGUCCAUAUCCAUCGCGGGCGUAAGAUACAUGAGGGAGACUGCUCCUAGUACGAGAGGACCGGAGUGGACGGACCGCCGGUGUACCAGUUGUUUCGCCAGAAGCACAGCUGGGUAGCUGCGUCCGGAAGGGAUAAACGCUGAAAGCAUCUAAGCGUGAAGCCCGUCCCGAGAUGAAGUAUCUCAUGUCGUAAGACAGUAAGACACCUUGAAGAAGACAAGGUUGAUAGGGUAGAUGUGGAAGUCCUGCAAGGGAUGAAGCUGACUACUACUAAUAUGUCGAGGGCUUAAC
rnacentral:rRNA from 1 species